rnacentral:lncRNA from 1 species
GCAAAAUCAAUGUUUUUAAAAUGAGUCCUGCAAAAUUUACAUUUUUUGUGAAAAGCGCGAAAAACUACUUCCGUGCAGCUGUUGUGUCUUAUCCAUUUAGCAUUAAUAUUGGAUGAAAAGUAAGUUAAUACCAUGAAUUCAAUUUUAAACAAUUAACGGAUUAAAAGUAUUUAGUAAAACCCAAAUUAUACACAUUCAACAAUCAUGUCAUUUUACAUUGUUUUCAAUUGAAGUGUUUCAAUACUUUUUUCCUGGUGUAUAGAUAAAACAAACAGCUAUUGUUAAUUUAACUACAAAUAGAAAUGUAGAAAAACAUGGCCAUUGGCAUUACAAAUCGACAUACAGACAACUAUGUGUUUAAAGAAAGAAGACAGACAUCAACCCAAAAUACUUGACAGAAUCUAACGGAUGAUCAACAAAAACACCACGAUAGACGUUAACAAAUGGUACUUGUGAUGUAUUCUUUUCAUUGUCCGCAUUAUGUUUACCUGACAGUUAUAUGUAUUGUAAAUCGAAUUUAAAAUUCAAAAUGUCAUUAGAUGAAUGAAAAGACAGAGCAAGGAAGAAGUUAAAACGAGAUCGUUUCAAUCGAACAACAAAUUGCCAAAAGAGGGGCGAAAGAUACCAGAGGGACAUUCCAAUUGUCAUAGUCAAAAGCUCAAACACAUCAAAAGAACAACUGUCACAUUCCUGACUUGGUAUAGGCAUUUUCUUGUGUAGAAAAUGGUCGAUAAAACCUGGUUUUAAGGCUAGUUCAAAGGAGUAGGUCUGUUUAGGGCCGAUUUUUGGCCUCAAAUUUCAGGUUCAUCUGACGAAAGAUUUUGGACACGUUUUAAACACUUAAGUGUCUAAUUCAGUUGAUUCAAUUAGUUUAUGUGAAAGAUUUAACUGAUUUACUCCUUAAAAACGCUCCAAUUCUAGCUUAAAUAUGAAUUGUGAAGAUUUCAGCCCAUAUUCAUGUAGCAGAAUCAUUCUACUUUCCAAUAAAUAAUUAAAAGUUACGUUUUAACAAUUUUGUAAAACUGCUAUAUUUUAGGGCCAACAAGGAUCUUACUGGUCCUACUCCUUUAUGAAUGAUCCAGAAACGAAAGUUUCAACUCCUUCAGGCAAAUGUUACCCUUGAUGAUUUCGCUAUUAAAUGUAUUGUAUUGCCUUUAUUGUCAUAUAUCAUAAAAGCUCUUUUAACUGUUUUUGGUUCUAUGCAUUUUCAGCUUUCAAAUAUUCAAUAAACUCAUCAUAGAUACAAGAAUUGAAAGCGUAACUAUAAACACACUGUAAAUGAAGACCGUAGUAGAACGGAAAUUCAUAAAUCGAUCAAGAGAAAACACAUCAAGGUUACAAACUAGAACCGGGGGAAACACGUCAACUAUAUAUAAGAGGAAAACAACGAAACAACGGAACACUGAAGUGAAACAAACGGCAAUGCAAAAUACAUAAAAACGAACUAUUAAAUAACAACAGCAAUAUUCCUGACUUGAUACAGGACGUUUUAAGAAAAGAAUAGUGGGUUGAACCUGGUUUUGCGACUAGCCGAACCUCGUAAGCGCAAAGCUGAGUGUAUGCGUUCAUGAUGAAGAUAUAUCAAGAAAUGCGCUUUGGUCGCUUGAAGAUCAUACAGUGUUGUUUUUAUUUUUUACAGAACGGUUGGUGGUAUGUCACCGUAAGAGUGCCAUCAGCUCAGAAGUCGGUACUUCGUUGCUGUUAUGAUUUAUAACUAGUCUUUCUUAAAUUACCAAUUAGUAUAUUUUAUAAAUUGUUAAGAAACUAAGGUUUCAUCUAAUUCAGGCA